CCUACGGGUGGCUGCAGUGAGGAAUAUUGGUCAAUGGACGAGAGUCUGAACCAGCCAAGUAGCGUGAAGGAUGACUGCCCUAUGGGUUGUAAACUUCUUUUAUAUGGGAAUAAAACGUUCCACGUGUGGGAUUUUGUAUGUACCAUAUGAAUAAGGAUCGGCUAACUCCGUGCCAGCAGCCGCGGUAAUACGGAGGAUCCGAGCGUUGUCCGGAUUUAUUGGGUUUAAAGGGAGCGUAGGUGGAUUGUUAAGUCAGUUGUGAAAGUUUGCGGCUCAACCGUAAAAUUGCAGUUGAAACUGGCAGUCUUGAGUACAGUAGAGGUGGGCGGAAUUCGUGGUGUAGCGGUGAAAUGCUUAGAUAUCACGAAGAACUCCGAUUGCGAAGGCAGUUCACUGGACUGCAACUGACACUGAGGCUCGAAAGUGUGGGUAUCAAACAGGAUUAGGUACCCGUGUAGUC
rnacentral:rRNA from 1 species